rfam:Camelus ferus unplaced genomic scaffold scaffold1327, whole genome shotgun sequence.
GAGGGUAUAGCUCAAAAUGGUAGAACGCAUGCUUAGCAUGCAUGAGGUCCUGGGUUCAAUCCCCAGUACCUCCU